AAAUAAUUAACAUAACUAAUGCACAAAAAUAAUUUCAUAUAAAAAGCAGUCAUUUAUUGCCAAAAAAAUCAUCAGAUCAAAUUUGAAAUUCAAUUUCAUUGCAUUUAAACUUUUUUUUUGUAAAAAAAAAAACAAAAAAAAAAAAUUUCAAAAUGUACUUCACAAAAACUCUUGUUCUUCUUCUUGUCUGUAUAAUUGCUAUGUUUGGCACAACAUUUGCAUGCAAAAAAACCGAUGAAGCCUGCAACAGUGACAAGGAAUGUUGCAGUGGAGGUUGCAGAGCAUAUUUUGGAUCAACAAAAAAAACAUGUUGGGAAAAAAUUCACGGCUGAUUUUAUAUGACACAAUUCGAUCGUUAACGAUAUAUGAUAAGAUGGAUGAAAUAUGAAUAACAAUUAUUUUAUGUAUUUUUUAAUAUAGAAAUAUUUUUUUUAUUAAAAAUAAAGAUAAAAUUUGAACAAAAAAAAAAA